rnacentral:lncRNA from 1 species
UUGGAUACAGAGAUUUAUGAUAGGCUAAUAAUGGCUCAGAGAUGUGACUUGUAAGUCAAUGGUAUGACGAUACCAUAUGUAUUUAUACCAUGACAGAUUAUGUUUCAGAUUAUUUUUUCAGAGUAUGUUUUCAGAGUAUGUUUUCAUAUCAUGUUUUCAGAGACUGUAUGUUUUGAUAGAGUUUUAAAAAAGAGCUAAAAGAAGGUUAGGUGGUUACCCGAAGAGGGCGUGAGUUCAAGUAACUCUUAGCCUAAAACCGUAUUUUUCGAUACGGGUAGAUUAUUAUUGUACGUUGGCGACAGCCGUGUGGCGUAGUAGAUUCAGAGACUCCGACCCUUGUGGCACACUUGGGUUAGGGGCUUAGCUGCUGAGUUAAUGGUAGUUUCCACAAAGCUCGUGGAAUUUUUAGAAUUAUAGGGUAUACCACCUAACUCAGAAGUAGUACAAAGAGUGUUUCAGAUUUCAUAUGUUGUCACAAAGUCCUUUAAAAAUGCCCAUGAUAAUUCUUACUACACGAUUGUUUAUGAACUAUUUUAAACUGCUCUCAUAUAUGUGAUUAUAAAUGAUUAUUUUGAUUUGCUCUGCCCACCAGUACAUUUGUAUUUAUCCCCUCCCCCUCCAACCAUCUCAGAUUCUGAGGCUCAGUCUAGAGGUCCAGAGAAGCAGUAGAUAAAUUCAGAUCGCAGAUCAGACUUGUGCAGUGGUGAGCCUUCUAUUUUCCAUAAGGCCUGUUGAGUUUUUGGAUAUUUAUCUAUAGUCAUGUUUUGGUUUACUGGGGUCCUUGUCCCAGUUUUCAGAUAGCUUAAUUUGUUUAUAG